AACGAACGCUGGCGACGUGGAUAAGACAUGCAAGUCGUGCGGAAGUUUACUGGUAGCAAUAUCGGGGAAACUUUAGCGGCGGAAGGGUGCGUAACGCGUGGGCAAUUUUCCCAAAAAGCCCGGAAUAACUCCGAGAAAUCGGAGCUAAUGCCGGAUGUGACUCCUGAGCGGCAUCGUUUGGGAUUUAAGGCCGGGGACCGUAAGGCCUGGCACUUUUGGAUGAGCCCGCGGCCUAUCAGCUAGUUGGCGGGGUAACGGCCCACCAAGGCUAAGACGGGUAGCUGGUCUGAGAGGACGACCAGCCACACUGGAACUGAGACACGGUCCAGACACCUACGGGUGGCAGCAGUCGAGAAUUUUUCACAAUGGGGGAAACCCUGAUGGAGCGACGCCGCGUGGGGGAUGAAUGGCUUCGGCCCGUAAGCCCCUGUCAUUUGCGAGCCAAAUGUAACAACCUAAUACGUUGUUGCUUGAUAGUAGCGAAAGAGGAAGGGACGGCUAACUCUGUGCCAGCAGCCGC
rnacentral:rRNA from 1 species